rnacentral:lncRNA from 1 species
UUUUUUUUUUUUGUUGCUUAUUUUUGUUUGUUUGUUUGUUUUACUAUGGCCACAGAAAGGGUUGUACUUCCUCAAGAUUAAAAAGAUAAAAAGAGCUUGGGGUGACUGCUCAGCCAUUAAAGGUGCUUUCCCACAAGGACCAGUGUUCAGAUUCCAGAAUCCACAUAAAUGCAGGCCAUGGCACCUUACUGCAUUUAUCACCUUAGAAAAUGAAGAUUAGAGGUCCUCAGAGCAAGCUGGCUAGCCAGACUAGCUGAAAAUUAGUGAGCUCCAGAUAGCAAGUAACAAUUGGUUAUAUACAAAGAGGUUGACCAAGUAAUUAAAAUAUAUUACAGAUUGAUGGUAUCUGACUUUGAAGAAGAAAAUUAUAAAUACAGAAGAAAGGAAACUAGAAAGAAUCUUACAGUGUUGCAUGGAGAUAUUAGUUUGAAUUCAUCGUUCAAAAUACUAGUAGGAAGUACAUAGCUAUAACUAGGGCAUGUGGGGAUGUGUAUAUAUCCCUGUGUCACCCACGGUCUGCUCACAGAGUCUGAAAGCCACAGAACCCUGGUACCAUUCCUUCUGUCUAGAUUUUGGCAUCUGUAUACCAUUCUCUAUCUAAAGGAGCCAGUACCCCUCAGAAAUGGCUGUGUCUAGGGCCAUGGCAGAAGAGUGAAAGUGAGUGAGGAGCAUCCUUUUUUUGUGAGGAAAGGAUGUGCUCAAAGAGUGAUGACAGCUUCUUAGGCCUGGGAAGCCACUGACCUGAUGCACUUUGUGAGGCAAAAUACUGAACAGUAGCUAUAGAUUUAUAAGCCCUUCUAUAAAAUAGCUAAGUUGUGUUGAUAUUAAUUCAAAAGCAUUAUGAAAAAUAGAAUUCUUACUUUCCAAUGAAAUACUUACAAGUUAGUUACACAAGGUAGUUUUGCAGUUGGUCAGCACUGGCAGAUACUGUCUUGAUGUACUGACAGUUGAUAAUUCAGAUUCACUUCCUGACAGAAUAAAUGCAGCAAGUCACAUCACCUGAGAUACACCUCCAAAUCUGCAUAGCCUGAGCUACUCUGGAGGAAAGCUCUGGCAAAUGGAGAGCUGCUUUGGCCUGUGACAGCAAGGUCACAGCAGUUAGGACAUGUAAGAGAGCCUAAGAUGGUACAGGCUGUUUCCUAAAAAGUUAUUACAAGACCACUCGAGCAAUAUCUGAGUUAAACAGUAAAUAUAGAAAGGUUAAUUAGAUCGUUUUGGUCUGUUGUACAGCACACAUGUUCACGUACACACUAAAGAUGUUUGAAGACAGUAGAAUGAUGUUCACAACUGACUUUUAAAAUGGUACAGAAAGAAAAGUUUCUGUCCUUGUAACUUUUUUUUUGUUAAGUGUAGGACUUUACAAAAUUAAAACAGUAACCAAAAAGAUUGUUUAAAACCUAAAUGGGAAAAUCUCUGAAUGAGUUUUUAAGAUUGAUGUUGAGAGCUGGAGAAAUAAAGAGCUUGCCUAGAAGGUCUGAAAGAAGGUCCCAAGGACUCAUAGAAAAUCUUGGUGUGGUGGUGUUGGAGGCCACCUUAGCACUUGUGUGUAGGGUAGGGGUAGGAAUCGGAAAAUCUUUGGGACUCACUGGCCAGCCAGUAUGACUAAAUUGGUUACUUUCAGAUUUCACUGUGUGCCCUUACCUAAAAAACUAAAAUGUAAGGUGAUAAAGGAAGACACCUGCCAUCAACUCUGGCUUCUAUACACAUGUAUGCGUGCGCACACACACACACACACACACACACACAUACAUACACACACAUCAUCACCAUCAUCAUCAUCAUCACCAUCACCACCACCAAAUAUAAGUAACAAAUAAAUUUAGUAAAAGCAAUCUUGUGUUCAUGAAUAAGGAACAAAACCGUCUUCACCUAUAUUAGAUUCUCCUGCUAGAGUCUUAUAAAUAGCCCGGCUAAGGACAGAAUAACUAGAGAAACAAAAGUUUCCUAAUGUGUAGCAGACUAGCUUGUAGGCAUCCAGAGAUCAGAAACGGAAAGGGAUGGCUGGAGCUGCCUUGCUAUAAGGAAGAACAGACGCUUAAGGAAGCAGAGGACUUUAUCUGGGUGUGGUGCCUGAGUCCUAUUUGCAAGAAGAGAUUAGGGUUUUCAUAUGGAGUUUUUGUUUGUUUGUUUGUUUGUUUGUUUGUUUGUUUGAGAAAUUCUGCUUUUAAACAGAUAAAUGAUUUCAAGAAUUCAUACUUUAAACAUAAAAUGAUUGUUUCAGAGUCGCCCCCCUCCCCCCAGCUGGCCCUAAACCCUGAAUUCCUUCCACAGCUUCAUAAAUGCUAGGAUUACAGGUGUGCAUCCUUCCCCAGUACAAAGUAAUCCUUAUGCUUCAGUGACCGACUUUGAUGCUGUGCUGCAAUGCUUGUAACUUAAAAAUGAUGUAUUAAUUAUGGGUACCUCUUACAUUUAUAUUCUCCAUUUAGUAUGAAUUUGUUUUUCAUAUAAAUAAAGCACAGAGCUUUUUAUAUAGUAUGGUGAGGAUAAUCAAUAAUUAAUGUCAUGAAGUUACAGAGGAACCAGUACCAAAGGAGAGUGUAGCUGAUGGUCACAGGUUUCUUUUUUGCUUUUUUAAAGCUUUGUCACUAUGUUUCAAUAUUAAGUGCAGUUUAAAUAAAAUUAACUAAUAUAUCUGUAAAUUUAUUAGAUGAUAUUUUCCUUACAUUAUAGAGAGCUCUUGUUAAAAAUCACAUACUUAAUAGUCACUGUGUUUAUAAUAAAUUUGUAUUUUAAGUUAGAAUAACUUCUAAUUAUCAAAUUCUCUUAAAUUUAUAUGAGAUUUAAAAAAAAUUUUUUUUAAAGCCAAAGCUUAGGACUCUAAGUACUACAACAUUUAGUUGAGGAAGAACUUCCAAGACACAAGGGGGCACUGUCUUUCUAUAAUCUGAAUGAAUUUUACCUAGCUUUUUCCUUACUGUAAAUGUUCUUCUUUCCCCAAAUUUUUCUUCAUAAUCAUAUAAGCUAAAAUAUUAUUUGGCUAAAUCUACAAUACUCAAACCCAUUGUAAGCAUUCCUAGUUUACAAUUCACCAUGCCAGUAGCAUAAUGCUGAACCUUUUCAUGUGUUUACAUGAGUUUGAGAACGGCGAAUGAUUGGCAGGUUGGAGGUGGUCAGCACACUCGGCUGUUGCUGUGUGGGUCUGGGUGGAGACUGCUGUAGAACCAUUGGGUUGCUCUGGGGAGUACAGCGACUAUGCUUGCAGAGCAGCAGGAUAAAGACUGCACUGUUCCAGCUGCAGCUGCAUUUUCCAUCAAGUAUCGCGUUGGUGCUGAUGACUGUUUUGUUUUUAUUGUCAUGGAAACUUGGAUCUGUAGAAUGGAUAUUCUAUUCAUCUGGGAAAAUAGCAAUUCCUUGCAUAAAACAUAGGGCCUUCCAGAGCAGUUCCUUAAAAUAGAUAUUCCCUGAGUAUGAUCCAAAAAUUUGAGGAAGUAAGAGUGGAAGAAAGCAGUCGUCUGACCACUUGUUCAGAAUUAACGGAUAACUACAUUAAGCUCAUUACUUGCCAUUAGAAAUUUGAAAGGCAUGGCAUUUAUUUAGUCAGUGUAAUUGCUAUCUGCCCUCUAGACAUUUCUUUCAGAUAUUAAGAUCUGUUGGGAAUUCUGAACCUAUGUCCUAUUAAGCAAUUGCUUAACAAACAGCCCUUUUAACUUCAUGCUGCUUAUCUGUUAUAAUCUUCCACUCAAAUGUCUUUCGUCAUGGAACACUUUUUAAGGAGCUUUACUCAAAAUGAAGAAAUGCUACUAGAAAUUAUUAUUCGUUUUGGGAAUGAAAAGAAAGAACAGAAUUAACGAUGAGGUCAAAAGGUCCUUAUACAUAGCUUUAUGAGUUGUGAAUAGAAAGGAAUAACCACAAGCCAUUUUCUGUGUAGUCCAAGGGAGCUCUAAUUGUAGUUAGUGAUUUAGAAAAUACAAAUGUUUAGUAAAUGAUAAUAACAUGCAGAUGAGGCCAGUGUGAGUUAAAAGAAUUCUCAAACUUAUAUUGAGAAGAGGGAUAGUUAUGUUAUGACAGCCUAUUGAAAGUUAUUGGUGAGGCUUUCUACAGGGUAAGGCUUUUUAACAUCUUAAAAAAAUAAGAGAGAAAUGUCAGAGUGCCAAUGUUUUAAGUAAGAAAGUCAGUAAUAACCUAUGACAGGAAGUGUCAUUUGAAUGGGACAUGGAAGUUCUUCCCAGAGAAUGGUUGUGCCAAAGGGCUAUUGAGCCCUGUAAACUUCAGUAGAGCAGAGGAUUUGAAAUGU